AAUAGUAGGUUUGCAAGAGGGUCUACAGUUUCUAAUGGUGGACAAAGAGAGAGUGGAGGGGGUUGGAGGAUGUUUAUGAGGUAGGAGGUGAAAAUUUAGAGUUGUUAGAUCUUAGAAAUAGUGAAGGAGGAAUAAAAAAAUUGCUAUAAGCAGGAGAAAAGGGAGAUCCUUGUGCAAGGAUUUCUCCUGCUUCUGCAACAAGAUGCUGGCUAUUAGUACACUCAGCAGGGAUUCCUCUGGUGUAUCCAAACCUGCAGGGACUUUGGUGGUGGUCUUUCAGGGCCUGGUUGUUUUCUCUAGAUGGAAGUGGUCAUGUCCCCAGUGAUGUUGGGCUUCUGGGCCUCAGCCGAUGUCACAAGAUGGAAGAUGUCCCAACUAAAGAUGGAAGUGGCAUCAGUGGAGAUGCAAGCCUUGGAGGGAUAAAGAUCUGGCAGAAGCUAUGAAGUAAGAGAAGGCAUCUAAAGGCAAACUGGGAUUAGGGACGCUGUCUAAUGACGCCAGACAGCCUCUGAACCUGCAUGCACAUCAGGAAAGGAGCCACCCAAGGGGUACUCAUUCACAACUCCUUGCUGGGAGGAGCAAGUUCCUGGAGGUGAAGGUGACCUUGGUGCCAGGUUUCGAGGAGGCAGAAGUUCUCUGGAGACAGACUUUGGAAGGAGCUCCCAUGGAAUCCUAAGCAGUCAAGGCCAUAAAUUCUCUCAGGGAUAAACAAAGUCUCCCUGGUGCUGGACAAUGGACUUGUUGAUAAGAAAAAGAAACUGCAAAGAGGACUUUGGUCCUUGAAAGAGAAACCUAAUAUCUGUUCCUUCAUCUGGAAUUUCUGGACCAGCUGUAAGAACCAGCAGACUGAAGAAGGAACCCCGAAGACUCACCAGGACCACAAGCACACCCAAGGCCAGGCAGACCACAAGCAGCUGACACACAGCCUACACCUGAGGAUGACUUCGAUCCCUGGGAUGAUCCUUUUUACAGUGGUGCUCGCUAUCUGUAUUAUCACAGUCUUAAGGAACAAAAAUGCUCAGGUCAAUGUGAAUGUCAGAAGUGACUUUCCAGGAUUCCCACCCGACUCCAAGCCCCCUACAUACAAAAAAUGAGAUCAAAUAUGCAGAUCAGCAAAAAGAAGACCUGCCUCUUCUCUGCCUCCAUAACCUGAUUCCUUUCUUUCCUGACAAGCUGAGGGCAAGGUCUCCCCCAGCUCACACCCUGCACUGCACCCUUGGAUUCAGCCCAAUGAGUCACACUGUUCUUCUGCUAAAGGGAGAGGGAUCUUACAUUAAUUUUAGCACCAAGGUCCUCCUUAACGAGUGUGUUCCUGUACACUUAUGGGGGGACAUCUUUGUGCAGGCUUUGUGCAAACAUGUGUCUGUAAUUCUCUGCCUUGGGCUUGUGGGUGAGGGGGAAAAUAUCUAGGCACCCAUCUUCUUCUUUCAAUCAUCCAUUCAUUAAUAAAUAUGGAUUAAGUAUC